rnacentral:rRNA from 1 species
GGGUUGUGAGGUUAAGCGACUAAGCGUACACGGUGGAUGCCCUGGCAGUCAGAGGCGAUGAAGGACGUGCUAAUCUGCGAUAAGCGUCGGUAAGGUGAUAUGAACCGUUAUAACCGGCGAUUUCCGAAUGGGGAAACCCAGUGUGAUUCGUCACACUAUCAUUAACUGAAUCCAUAGGUUAAUGAGGCGAACCGGGGGAACUGAAACAUCUAAGUACCCCGAGGAAAAGAAAUCAACCGAGAUUCCCCCAGUAGCGGCGAGCGAACGGGGAGCAGCCCAGAGCCUGAAUCAGUGUGUGUGUUAGUGGAAGCGUCUGGAAAGGCGCGCGAUACAGGGUGACAGCCCCGUACACAAAAAUGCACAUACUGUGAGCUCGAUGAGUAGGGCGGGACACGUGGUAUCCUGUCUGAAUAUGGGGGGACCAUCCUCCAAGGCUAAAUACUCCUGACUGACCGAUAGUGAACCAGUACCGUGAGGGAAAGGCGAAAAGAACCCCGGCGAGGGGAGUGAAAAAGAACCUGAAACCGUGUACGUACAAGCAGUGGGAGCACGCUUAGGCGUGUGACUGCGUACCUUUUGUAUAAUGGGUCAGCGACUUAUAUUCUGUAGCAAGGUUAACCGAAUAGGGGAGCCGAAGGGAAACCGAGUCUUAACUGGGCGUUAAGUUGCAGGGUAUAGACCCGAAACCCGGUGAUCUAGCCAUGGGCAGGUUGAAGGUUGGGUAACACUAACUGGAGGACCGAACCGACUAAUGUUGAAAAAUUAGCGGAUGACUUGUGGCUGGGGGUGAAAGGCCAAUCAAACCGGGAGAUAGCUGGUUCUCCCCGAAAGCUAUUUAGGUAGCGCCUCGUGAAUUCAUCUCCGGGGGUAGAGCACUGUUUCGGCAAGGGGGUCAUCCCGACUUACCAACCCGAUGCAAACUGCGAAUACCGGAGAAUGUUAUCACGGGAGACACACGGCGGGUGCUAACGUCCGUCGUGAAGAGGGAAACAACCCAGACCGCCAGCUAAGGUCCCAAAGUCAUGGUUAAGUGGGAAACGAUGUGGGAAGGCCCAGACAGCCAGGAUGUUGGCUUAGAAGCAGCCAUCAUUUAAAGAAAGCGUAAUAGCUCACUGGUCGAGUCGGCCUGCGCGGAAGAUGUAACGGGGCUAAACCAUGCACCGAAGCUGCGGCAGCGACGCUUAUGCGUUGUUGGGUAGGGGAGCGUUCUGUAAGCCUGCGAAGGUGUGCUGUGAGGCAUGCUGGAGGUAUCAGAAGUGCGAAUGCUGACAUAAGUAACGAUAAAGCGGGUGAAAAGCCCGCUCGCCGGAAGACCAAGGGUUCCUGUCCAACGUUAAUCGGGGCAGGGUGAGUCGACCCCUAAGGCGAGGCCGAAAGGCGUAGUCGAUGGGAAACAGGUUAAUAUUCCUGUACUUGGUGUUACUGCGAAGGGGGGACGGAGAAGGCUAUGUUGGCCGGGCGACGGUUGUCCCGGUUUAAGCGUGUAGGCUGGUUUUCCAGGCAAAUCCGGAAAACUAAGGCUGAGGCGUGAUGACGAGGCACUACGGUGCUGAAGCAACAAAUGCCCUGCUUCCAGGAAAAGCCUCUAAGCAUCAGGUAACAUCAAAUCGUACCCCAAACCGACACAGGUGGUCAGGUAGAGAAUACCAAGGCGCUUGAGAGAACUCGGGUGAAGGAACUAGGCAAAAUGGUGCCGUAACUUCGGGAGAAGGCACGCUGAUAUGUAGGUGAAGUCCCUCGCGGAUGGAGCUGAAAUCAGUCGAAGAUACCAGCUGGCUGCAACUGUUUAUUAAAAACACAGCACUGUGCAAACACGAAAGUGGACGUAUACGGUGUGACGCCUGCCCGGUGCCGGAAGGUUAAUUGAUGGGGUCAGCGCAAGCGAAGCUCUUGAUCGAAGCCCCGGUAAACGGCGGCCGUAACUAUAACGGUCCUAAGGUAGCGAAAUUCCUUGUCGGGUAAGUUCCGACCUGCACGAAUGGCGUAAUGAUGGCCAGGCUGUCUCCACCCGAGACUCAGUGAAAUUGAACUCGCUGUGAAGAUGCAGUGUACCCGCGGCAAGACGGAAAGACCCCGUGAACCUUUACUAUAGCUUGACACUGAACAUUGAGCCUUGAUGUGUAGGAUAGGUGGGAGGCUUUGAAGUGUGGACGCCAGUCUGCAUGGAGCCGACCUUGAAAUACCACCCUUUAAUGUUUGAUGUUCUAACGUUGACCCGUGAUCCGGGUUGCGGACAGUGUCUGGUGGGUAGUUUGACUGGGGCGGUCUCCUCCUAAAGAGUAACGGAGGAGCACGAAGGUUGGCUAAUCCUGGUCGGACAUCAGGAGGUUAGUGCAAUGGCAUAAGCCAGCUUGACUGCGAGCGUGACGGCGCGAGCAGGUGCGAAAGCAGGUCAUAGUGAUCCGGUGGUUCUGAAUGGAAGGGCCAUCGCUCAACGGAUAAAAGGUACUCCGGGGAUAACAGGCUGAUACCGCCCAAGAGUUCAUAUCGACGGCGGUGUUUGGCACCUCGAUGUCGGCUCAUCACAUCCUGGGGCUGAAGUAGGUCCCAAGGGUAUGGCUGUUCGCCAUUUAAAGUGGUACGCGAGCUGGGUUUAGAACGUCGUGAGACAGUUCGGUCCCUAUCUGCCGUGGGCGCUGGAGAACUGAGGGGGGCUGCUCCUAGUACGAGAGGACCGGAGUGGACGCAUCACUGGUGUUCGGGUUGUCAUGCCAAUGGCACUGCCCGGUAGCUAAAUGCGGAAGAGAUAAGUGCUGAAAGCAUCUAAGCACGAAACUUGCCCCGAGAUGAGUUCUCCCUGACCCUUUAAGGGUCCUGAAGGAACGUUGAAGACGACGACGUUGAUAGGCCGGGUGUGUAAGCGCAGCGAUGCGUUGAGCUAACCGGUACUAAUGAACCGUGAGGCUUAACCUUACAACGCCGAAGGUGUUU